rnacentral:rRNA from 1 species
GACGAACGCUGGCGGCGUGCCUAAUACAUGCAAGUAGAACGCACAGUUUAUACCGUAGCUUGCUACACCAUAGACUGUGAGUUGCGAACGGGUGAGUAACGCGUAGGUAACCUGCCUGGUAGCGGGGGAUAACUAUUGGUAACGAUAGCUAAUACCGCAUAAUAUUGAUUAUUGCAUGAUAAUUGAUUGAAAGAUGCUAUUGCAUCACUACCAUAUGGACCUGCGUUGUAUUAGCUAGUAGGUGAGGUAACGGCUCACCUAGGCGACGAUACAUAGCCGAACUGAGAGGGGGAUCGGCCACACUGGGACGGAGACACGGCCCAGACUCCUACGGGAGGGAGCAGGAGGGAAACUUCGGAAAGGGACGAAAGUCUGACCGAGAAACGCCGCGUGAGUGAAGAAGGUUUUCGGAUCGUAAAGCUCGGUUGUAAGAGAAGAACGGGUGUGAGAGUGGAAAGUUCACAAUGUGACGGUAUCUUACCAGGAAGAGACGGCUAACUACGUG